GUACCAAAUGUUGUAGAACCAGGAAGGAAGGAAACUACGUGAACUUUCUCCAGCUCUUGCUCCACCGCGAACGUCUCUACAACUCGCUUGCUUUCACUUUCGGGAGAUAGUGAGUCAGACCCAGUCAAGGGUGAGAUUAACCACUAUUCGAAGCGUACGUGUUUGGCAUGAUCUCAUGAAUCACGUCUAGUCCCCAGCAAAUCAAAUUUUACGUCAAAUCAAAGUCCGUUACACGUCAAACAGGGACAAUUUUUUCUGGAAAAAUAGCGGCACAUUAAAUAGUGGUUUACGCUCAAGGACUGUACAAUUUUCAAUUACCUAUAUUCUAACAGAUACAAGCUGAUUCAAGUCUAAUUGGAAAACUGUGUGAUGCAACUUGGACUCAACGAGUGUGCGUAAUGCUCGAAUGAAAACGACAACGUCAAACAGAAUAUUGAAUAAAUUAUUUUCUUGAAUGGAUUGAAAACAAGUACGCAAACAUUUUCAUCUUUCAGUCUCCUCAUUUCAAAUUAGGAGCUUUGGAAGGAAGGAAGAUGUGAUAAUAGAAACGAGGACAAAAGAAACGGAAGGAAGGAAGCACUACUAAACACCAGCUAAUUAGACUUCAACUAAUUCAGCGUUACAGGAAUGCAGAAAAGGUGUUGAUUAAUUAAUGGGAUUACAAGUAUCAUGCUGAUUUACAAGCAGUGAUGGACUUGUGAUGCCUAUUUGAUGUAUUACUUAUCCAAUUUUCUCAUGAUACGUACGUAAAUAUAUUCAAUAUUGUUUUUGCAUGCUUGAGCAGUCGUUUGUUUUAUGUACAAUGCGUAAUCUUAGCUCAAUUGUAUAAUAAAUUAUGUUCUUGAUGUUCAGCACA